ACAUCAUGUUGAAACACAGGUUCUCGUCUGAUCACCAAAGUUAAGCAACAUUGAGCCUGGUCCGUACUUAGAUGGGUGACCACGCUGGAAUACCAGGUGAUGCAAG